rnacentral:lncRNA from 1 species
GUGGGUAGUGUGCAUGGGAUGACAAGUCUGAACAGAACCUGAGCUGUAUGAGUGCAGAGUUUGUAAAUGAUUUGAUUGGGUAAGAUUAACACUUGAUUCUGAGGUAUUUUUCAGGCCAUGUGCAUAAAAUCUGCCUCAAAUUUCUAUCAUAACAGGAAUGUAAAAGAAAAAUUCUAUUUGAAUUCUAACAGCUAGGGGGUGCAAAUGUUUAGGCAGUGUAUUUGAAAUGUUUUGAAGUCUGGGCACCAAAAUGAAAAAAAAACUCUUUACAGUUAUACUAUAAGAUACAGUUAGCACCCACAAAUUACUGGUUUUUAAACUUUUGAAGUCUUAUAAUUAGCUUUAAAAUAAUGGUUUUGUAAAUUGGUCUCCACAGUAAUUUUGGUAUUUUCCUUCUUCCCCCAUUUAGAAAUUUAUUAAAUAUGAAAAUUUAGAGUCUGAAGUUGUUCGUCUUCAGGCCAAAUUUUUUAUGGGACUUUAGUUUUAACCACAGUACUCGUUUAUUACAUUCAUCUAUUAUAAAAUUUACCCUUAUUUCUUUUGUUCAUGGUUAGUAUCUUUGGGGGACGUUAUGGAAAAUUUACUUUAUAUUUUAUAAGGAAACACUCAAAUUAUUCAAUUAUGCCUCCUAGUUAAAUUUUUCUUAAAUAUAUGUGAAACUUGAACUAAACUCUCAGUUUGCCUUUUUUGGUCUGCCAGUAAAUUAAGUAGCUUGUUGCAACACCAGACUAGUAAAUACUGCAUAGUAAACAUGUGACUGAAGUCUUUUCAUCUUAAUCUGAAAGAACAAGAUUAUGUGCUCAGUUCAGUUAAUGGAGAUUUAUUUUUGGUGAUGUGUUUCUGACUGCCACCUUUGCUCUGAUCUCUCUACUAGUAUUUCCCCUCAUGCCAUUACCACUUGAUUUUCAUGUCUGCUGG